rnacentral:lncRNA from 1 species
CCCAGGUAUCAUCAAAAGUCCAAGUGCAUCGAGUGGCGAUAUUGAAGAAAAAAUUUGAGUCAAAUCGGAUGGCCAGGAGAAGGAGAAUAGAUUUCAUAUUUAAAAAUUUUUUCAUAACUCUUAUAAAAGUUAUCUUGAUGCAUAGCGGAAUCAAGAUCAAUGUUGUUGGAUUCCAGAAAUCAGUUGCUUCACAAGAUCUGGAUGUGCAGAUCCUCUACUUUGCAUGCAUGUCAAGCAAUGCAGGAGAGAGGGAUGAAGACUUGGGGCACUUCUUCAGAAAGAAAGGAGAGGAGAGCUUUAAGAUUUAAUCUCAACGGCUUGGAAGGAUUCCACACACCACCAUAAGGGAGACACCACACCC